AAGACCUUGCGCUUUUGGAGCGGCCGAUGUCUGACUAGCUUGUUGGUGAGGUAAAGGCUUACCAAGGCUUCGAUCAGUAGCUGGUCUGAGAGGACGGCCAGCCACACUGGGACUGAGACACGGCCCAGACUCCUACGGGAGGCAGCAGUGGGGAAUUUUGGACAAUGGGGGCAACCCUGAUCCAGCCAUGCCGCGUGAGUGAAGAAGGCCUUCGGGUUGUAAAGCUCUUUCGGCCGGAACGAAACGGUUACGGUUAAUACCCGUGACUACUGACGGUACCGGAAGAAGAAGCACCGGCUAACUACGUGCCAGCAGCCGCGGUAAUACGUAGGGUGCAAGCGUUAAUCGGAAUUACUGGGCGUAAAGCGUGCGCAGGUGGUUUUGUAAGUCAGAUGUGAAAUCCCCGGGCUUAACCUGGGAACU
rnacentral:rRNA from 1 species